ACGCGAUAAUAGCAAAGCCGGCGCAAGCCGGCGGCGCAAAGCUAUGGGUUCGCCUCAGGCGAAAGCCCGGCUGCCGAA
rnacentral:ncRNA from 1 species